GUUUUAGCCUUGCGUCUUUAUCGCUCUCUCUCUCCCUAUCCUUCCAAACGCACUGUUGUUUUCUGCUUCGGCUCUCAUCAGUCACCAUUAUCAACUCUUGAUAACCGAUAAUCAGAUUCCAUUCACGUGUUCUUUACACAUAAGUAAUUCAGGUAACUUGGAUUCUUCUCUCUUCUCCUUUCUUUUUUCUCUAUAAUUUUAUCUGAAUUUGAUGUUUUGGCUUUUUAUGAAAUGGAAUUUUGUUAGAGUUUAUUGUCCAUUUUGAUUCAGUUUUCUUCAAUUUUUCUUUUUCUGAAGUUCAAAAUCUGACUUUCUUGUAUGGAAAUUCCGGUGAUUUUUUUAGCUCUUGAAUUUCUCUUUCCUGUUGAGGUGAAGUUUCCCGGGAAAUAAACAGGUGCUGACUGGGAACGGUUUUCUCAGGAAACAUGCAAGUUUGCGAUUUCACAAAAUUUCAUUUCUAGAGAAAUAGUUAUCAAUAUUUCUUUUAGAAGGAUUAUUUGAGGGUGUUGACUGAUGUGUUUUGUUUCAGGUUUCUUGGCAAUAUAGUUUCAGUGUGUGUACGUUUGUAGCAUAGAAAUCAGUAGAAGAUCAGGCAAAUCUUGAAAAUUUUUUUUUUUUGGGAGAAGAUUUGCUGCUUUGUUUGAAGGUAUGCUUCACCUUCACCGGUCUGUGAUAUAUAAUUUUUUUUUCUUUUUAACUUUUGAGAGUUGGGCGAUGUAAAGUAAAAUUUUGGAUCCGGGUUUCCUCUUACUUUCAUUUCAUGCCUGGAAAGUGUCCUUUGCGAUUGUUUAAUCAGGGUUGCAUGAAAAAGUUUAAAUUUUGUUUUAAUUACAUUAAUUUCAUUAUAUAAGAUUAUGAUAUAUUCUCGCUCAAUUUGAACUGGAGUAUGAUAUAUUCCUUCUGCACUUUUUUUUAUUUUCUUAGUAAUUUUUGGAACAUGUUUGGAUUUUUUUAUCAUUUCUUUUGUAGUUUCGAGGCCCACAGCUUUUAAGGUUAUGAAUUUCUGUAAUGAAUAAAAAAUAAUUUAAAGUUUUGACGUUGAAUGCCUUUCGUUGAUGUUUUGGUUUGUAUAAUCUCACCUUAUUUCUUUUAUGUUUGUUUCACCUAAUUUUGGUAAUUUUAAGAGGAAUUAAACUAUGGUUUGUUGGACUUGCUUGCAGUCUUGUUGGAAUUAAUGAAGAUCCCUCAUAAUAGAUUUCAAUGAAAAUGGGAAAAUAUAUAUCUCGACUCAAAGCAAGGAAUUUCUCUAAUGUUUCACUCCAAGAAAGUUUGUGAAUGAUCUGCAAGUCAUUGGGAGGGAGUUUUGCUACUGAUUCUUUUCCUGUUUGAUAAUACUUUCACCUUUUCUUUUGUUUAUUUUGUAGUUUGAGGUUCCUUCUAGGAAAACCUUUGCAUAUAGAGGGCAAUGUUUAGAGUUUAGACAUAACAAAUGAUCAUGAGAUGCAACUUAGACAAUAUAUACACUUGGAUUUGUUUCUGAUAGAUCUGCUGUGCCUGUGCAUUAGUAUUCUGUGAUCUUCCUUUCAAGAUUCUUUUUGUUGUUAUUUAUUUGAUAUAAAAGUAAGUUCAUUAGACAAUGGCUUCACCAGAUCUUCAUUCCUCCUGGCUAUCUGCAGCUGGUGAAUCUGUUAGUGGAUGUUUCAAUAUAAAUAUGGAGGGAAUGAAUUCUUCCGAUGUUUUACAUGUGCUGGAAUCUCCCGCCUCUUCUAUGUCCUACCAUAGUAGCAUACCCAAACCACCUCCUUUUCCUGAUAGAACAUUUAGAACCAAUCACAAAAGAAUUUCAGGGUGUUCCUCUGUCCCAAAGGAGAUAUUAGAUUCAUGGGACAGGCUAUUCAAGGAAGGAUAUGGUUCAGAUGUCUAUAUUAUUACAGAUGGCAAAUCAUAUAUUCCAGCUCAUUUCAAUGUUUUGAGUAUUGCAUCACCAGUACUCCAGAAUCUUCUUCAGCAAUCAAAAGUUAAGAAUGGAAUUAGAUAUAUCAAAAUUCUCGGUGCACCUUUUGAAGCUGUUUAUGCAUUCAUUCGGUUUUUGUACUCAUCCCGGUAUCUGCAAAUAUCUUUUUCCUUUUAUUUAUCGCAAUUAAAAGUUAAAGUAACUGCUACUUUCAUUAGUUUGAAAUUGAUACUACCACAGCAUUUAUGUAUGUUUCUUGUUAUGUUAUAUGAAGAAUAUAAUUAAAGAAUCAGCAUAAGCUUGAGGGGCAAUAAUUUUAUUGGAGCAUGUCUAUAGUACACAAGUACACAAGUUUGUUGACCUACCAAGCCUAUCAAUAGCUCAUAACUAUGUUUCCUCUACAAUCAUUUACUGCAUGUAGAAGAUUCAGUCAGGAAAUAGUUUAAGCAGCAAAUAUUUAGUUAGUUUGAUCAAACAGACUGUAACUCUAUGUACGUAUUGCCAUUGUUGUAAUAAUAUGAUGAAUAAAUUAUUGAGCAGGCAUUACUAUGCUGGUAUUAUUUGAUUAAAGGUACUUAGAAAUGGAAAUUUAUUUUGUAUACUGGCAUGAUAUAGAAGAUAAGCAUUAAACUGCUGUCUUAGGAGAACAGGUUGGCCUAAGUUUUCUUUUGGGUUUUCUCUUUUCUUUUUCCCCUUGUGCUUGUGUACUAUUUCUUAUUUAAAUUGCUAAAAUAUUUUUUGUCUGAUAACCUAAUGCAGCUUUGAGGAGGAAGAGAUGAAGAAGUUUAUUCUCCAUUUGUUGGUUUUGUCACACUCGUAUUCGGUCCCAUCACUGAAAAGAAUUUGCAUACACUUUCUUGAGCAGGGUUGGUUGGCCAAAGAAAAUGUGGUGGAUGUGCUUCAGUUAGCAAGGAUCUGUGAUUCACCACGGCUGUCCUUUAUUUGUGUUCGUAUGGUAGUGAAGGACUUCAAAUCUGUAUCAUCGACUGAAGGUUGGAAGGUUAUGAAGCGAACUAAUCCUGCCCUUGAACAAGAGCUUGUGGAGUCUGUCAUUGAAGCAGAUUCUGUAAGUUCCUAACUUUUGAUUGGAGUAAACAUAUCAACCACAUGGCAAGAUAUUAAAACUUAAAAGUUGGUUGAGAUGACAUGCUACAUUCCUGCAGUGUGUGUUCCAGAUGUUCUUAAAAUAAUUUCUGCACUCCCAAGCAUGAUAUUUCGCUGUUGCUGUUGUCGUUGUUGUUUUUUUUUUGUUAAAACAUAUGUUCAGGUGGUAAGUUACUCGUCUGUGCAUGUGUUUCAUAAUUUUAUUUGUGUUUUUAGACAUGAGUCAAGGAAGUUACCUUCAUCUAUGUAAUUUAUCAUUUGGUUUUGGAAUUCCUUAGAUUCCAAUUUAUGAGGCACCUAUAAUGAAUGCUUCUACAUGAACUGGGUGAAAAAAGCUCCCCAUUUUUGUCUUUAGCGAUUGGAGUCCAGCAGAACAUAUUUCCUCAGUCUGAGUGUCUACUUUUCCACCUUUAUGUUUUGAAUUGCUAAAAGUUUUUGAUCAUGCUUAUGACACCUCUUACAGAAUAAAUGUUCAAAAUGUUGGAUUUAUUAGCUCGCUAUUCUUAUUGAUUAUAGUUCUUUGAAGGAGAGCUUUCUUUAGUUGAUAUCUAAACGUUAUGGAUUUACUACCUUUAAUCAGUUUCUGUUAUCAUUGAAUUCUUGAGUCCAUCUUUCUGCAAUUUUCUUUGCUCUCAAUCAACCUCUGUAGUUGCAUGAUUGCGGUAAUAUUUAUUCUCUAUACACACUUUAAAUUGUCUGGAGUAACCAUUCCUUUCAUUCAACUAUAGGAAGUGGGAUUAUAGUUUUUACUUGUUGCUGUCAGAGAAAACAGGAGAGAUUGAGGAAACUGGAAGAGAAAAAGGUGUACUUGCAACUCUAUGAGGCAAUGGAGGCCCUCCUUCACAUAUGCAGGGACGGAUGCAGGACAAUAGGUCCGCGUGACAAAGUGCUGAAAGGAACCCAAAUCACAUGUAAUUUUCCUGCUUGCAAAGGGCUUGAGAACUUAGUUCGUCAUUUCUCCAAUUGUAAGACUCGAGUUCCUGGUGGAUGCGUUCACUGCAAGCGCAUGUGGCAGCUUCUUGAACUGCAUUCCCGCAUGUGCAACGAGCCAGAUUCGUGCAAGGUUCCACUUUGUAGGCAUUUGAAGGAAAAAAUGCAGCAGCAGACUAAGAAAGAUGAAACUAGGUGGAAACUACUGGUUGGCAAGGUAGUAGCAGCAAAGGGCAAACUGGGGCCAUUCUGAGAUCAGCAUCUAGGUUUAUCAUGAGCCCUUGAAUUUUAUUACCUUGUUUCUUCAGCCAUUACAAUUGUAAGAAAUAAUGGCAACUGUAAAAUGGAAAAAAUGGUAAUAAAAUGGAUGGUUUUCUUGGUUUGAAUUUAGUACAGAGAUUGGUCUUGGCUCUCUUUUUUUUUUUUUGGUUUUUAUGUAUAAUAAUAUAGAAAGUGGUCAAUCCAAUUUGGUUUCGUCUGUUGAAUUACAAAUAGGCUGUUGCAUGUUCAGCCAUUUGGCUUUUGAAUCAAAACUUGAAAAGGUACUCCGCUUUUGGUUGGACG
rnacentral:misc_RNA from 1 species